rnacentral:lncRNA from 1 species
GAGAUCAAUCAUUGCAGAGGCCAUAGUUUAUCCCAAUAAACUUUAGUAGCUGCUCACAGCUUGAAAUCAUGUUCAAACAAAGCUAAACAUCAUUAACCUAAAUAUAUAGUAAAACAGAUACAUGUAGAUCGGCAGAGAUGACUAAAUUUAAACUACCUCAUAAAGCUAACAAUAAACUAUUUACAGAUGUAGGACCAUGGUCCAUGAGAAUAGCGUAGUCAAUCUCUUUUCUUUUCCCACUCUACCAUUUUCUGCCACAAACUCAAAACCCCAACAACAUAGUCAAUCUCAUCUUCAAGCCUUCGGCAAGAAUAACACCCAUCUUGCUCUUCUUCAAAACCCCAACAACAUAGUCUGUCUCGUAGUCACCAUUUUCUGCCACAAACUCAAAACCCCAACAACAUAGUCAAUCUCAUCUUCAAGCCUUCGGCAAGAAUAACACCCAUCUUGCUCUUCUUCAAAACCCCAACAACAUAGUCUGUCUCGUAGUCAAUCUCGUCGUUGUAGAAUCAAUUACAUGAUCUCUUCUGAUAGUUGUUUGGACCACCAGUUGCUGCUGUUGUUACUCAUCAUUUACACGUAGAUCUUGGGAUCCAGAUCUGGAUCGGCAUAUAGAGAAAGAGAGAGAGAGAGAGAGAGAGAGAGAGACAAAGAGAUAGAGAGGAAAGGAGGAUUUAUCCGCGGCAAAUAGACAGAAAGACCACUAGUUGCUCUUUAUUUAUAUUGUUAUAACU